rnacentral:rRNA from 1 species
UACGGAGGGUGCAAACGUUGCUCGGAAUUAUUGGGCGUAAAGCGUACGUAGGCGGUCCAGCAAGUCGGGUGUGAAAGCCCUCGGCUUAACCGAGGAAGUGCAUUCGAAACUACAGGACUUGAAUACUGGAGAGGAUUGCGGAAUUCCCGGUGUAGAGGUGAAAUUCGUAGAUAUCGGGAGGAACACCAGUGGCGAAGGCGGCAAUCUGGACAGAUAUUGACGC